rnacentral:rRNA from 1 species
UACUAGAGUAGCACUCGCAUAUCAAUAAGCGGAGGAAAAGAAACUAACAAGGAUUCCCCUAGUAACGGCGAGUGAAGCGGGAAGAGCUCAAAUUUGAAAUCUUAAAGGGUUUCCCUUUACGAAUUGUAGUUUAAAGAAGUGUUUUCUGUUGAGGUUUUGGUAAAAGUUCUUUGGAAUAGGACAUCAUAGAGGGUGAGAAUCCCGUAUUUGACCUUUACUUUCAACUUUGUGAUACACUUUCAAAGAGUCGGAUUGUUUGGGAAUGCAGUCCAAAAUGGGUGGUAAAUUUCAUCUAAAGCUAAAUAUUGGCGAGAGACCGAUAGCGAACAAGUACCGUGAGGGAAAGAUGAAAAGAACUUUGAAAAGAGAGUUAAACAGUACGUGAAAUUGUCAAAAGGGAAGCGUUUGACACCAGUGUUGUUUUUCUGAAAAUCAAUUAAAGAACUGUUUAUGCUAAGCUGUUUAGACUUUAUCAGCUAACUGUUUAGUUUUGAGCUUUUCUUUAAUGCACUUUUCAGUUAACAAGUCAACAUCAAUUUCUUUUGCUGUAAAAAAGCUUGAGGAAGGUGGCUUGAGAUUCGUCUUAAGUGUUUAUAGCCUCUUGCCUAUGCAGUCGGAGAGAUUGAGGUCUGCAGCGUAGAUCCUUCGGGGCUAAAUGCAUUUGUGCUAAGUUAUAGCAUUUCAUAGACAACUUGUUGACUAUGAUUUGUCUUGUAGCUUACUCGCUUAUGUUAUUUUACCUACGCUUAGGAUGUUGAGUCAUACACAUCUCU